AAACUUUCCUGGAUGUCUGAUUGAAGUACACACAUGUAUAUGACAGGUUUUAAAACCUAAAAAUAAGUCCACACACACACUUGUUUUUAUCAAGGAAUGUGGCAUUGAUUGCUGUUAUCUGUGAAUUAUCGCAAAUAAGCAGGCUUUUCCAGAGAGUGGUAGAAUUUCUGCAUAUGAGGUCUCUGGGCCUCAGUAUCUGUACAUGAACUGGUUGUGGUACAGCUUCGGUAUGUUUCCACUAUAUGCUCUAAUGUAUGAAUUGGUAUGCUUGAUGUAUUAGUGGAUAUGCUCUAUG